CUGAGCUCCUCGGUCAAGCUAAAAAUCCAAUCUGGAUGUCGGUGAAAUUUUGCCGAUCAAGGCACUUUUGAGAUGCCCAAAAGCCAUUGAUGGCAAAAUCCAAAGUCCGUCCCCUAAAACUCCACUUCGAUUGGGGAAAAUUGGCUAAUUUAAACUGUCUUUCGGUGUCCAAUCAACGCGUAGUUGGUUUUAAAUUGAAACCUGAGGUAUAAGGGUUGUCAUCUUUAAGUCUGAUUGUCCAAACUGGUUACUAGUUGAUCAGGAUAUUACUGGAAAACUCUAGUUUUCUCUCUUCUCGUACUGCUGUUUGAGUUGAGGUUGGUUGAGAAAGGAAGCUGGGAUCAAGGGGGUUCUGUCGCCAUUCAAAACGCGGCCAUUCAGUGCUCAAAAUGAUCAAAAAAGCGUCGAAAUUACUGCCUCCAUUGCACCAUCAGAAAAAAGUCGUGUCCAUUGCCGUCACUGCUACUUAGGUUUGUGGCAGAACUCAUAUGUGUCACUAAAUCUAUUGUCGGUGGCAUCUGGUCUUCAUAGGUUAGGAAAACAGAGGAAGGAAGGGAGAAAGUCAGGGAAUUGUUUUAAUUGGCUUUAAUUGGCUUUUUCCUUUUGAAAAUUAGUAAAAUAAUAG
rnacentral:misc_RNA from 1 species